AGCAGUUAUAUCCGCUAUUUGUUGAAUUUCCGGUAAUGUUUAGAUCAAUUUAAUAUAACCUACCUACCUUACCUGCUGCUACUGCUGCUGCUGCUAUUGAUUUUGUGUAAUAUUUGUGUAAAGAGCAAUAAUUUAUAAUGCGAAAAGAUAAAAAUAAGAUUAUCAAGUGGAGAGAGUGUGAAAUAAGAAGUCACCGCCGUUCUUCGUUCGUCUCAAUAUUUUUAAAAAGAGCAUUUAUUUUCUCAGUCUGUUUAAAACUACUGUCGCAGGUUGACGUGUUCGGUAUUUGCUAAAAUCGAUUAGCGCAAAAUUUUUUUUUUAGUAAUUUUUUUUUCUAUUCUUAUUAACUUAUCAACACAGUUUAUAACAAACUUGUAUUUGCUUUUAGAAAAAUAAGCAAAAUAUUUAAAAAUUUUUUUUUAUUAAACAUUUCAAAACAUAAGAAUUGUUAAUUCAAGUGUAAAAAUCAAAUAUUUUGCAUAUAUAAUUUUUUUAUUAAAUAACAUAACGCCGGUUUCUUAUGUUUUAUGCAAAAGUGAUGGGUAUUUAAUAUAAUAAUGUUAUAAUAAAAUAAAAAACCUACAUACUCUACUCGAUAUUAAAUACCAACACCAUAAAUACCGUUAGUUCGAAAUAGAAUGAACUAAAAUAAAAAAACCAAAAACUCUUAACAAACAACAAAUAGGUGUGAAAGUAGAAGAGAAAUAUUGUAUAAAUUUGCGUAUAUAUGUAGUUGAGCUACUUGAGAGCAGAGCGCACAAGUAGGCCAAACAUAAAAAAUGUCAGCGCCACUGCGUAUGCGAGUUUGAUAAAAAAAAAUAUAAGUGUUAUAUUUUAUUCUAAUUCUAAACGAAAAAUUGCACAUAAGACAAAAAAGAGUGUGGUAAAGUUUAAUAUUAAAAGUGAAAAGUUAAUAAAAGUAUAACAGUUUGCAAUAAAAUAGUAUUAUACCACCUAACUAUAAACAAAAUUUUUAUAUUCACAUUUU